UACGGUGCGUGCAAGCGUUACUCGGAAUCACUGGGCGUAAAGGGCGCGUAGGCGGCCUAGCAAGUCUGGUGUGAAAGCCCAGGGCUCAACCCUGGAAGGGCUCUGGAAACUGUUAGGCUUGAGUUCCGGAGACGAGGGGGGAAUUCCCGGUGUAGCGGUGAAAUGCGUAGAUAUCGUGAGGAAUACCGGUGGCGAAGGCGCCCCUCUGGACGGAAACUGUCGCUGAGGCGCGAAAGCUUGGGGAGCAAACAGG
rnacentral:rRNA from 1 species